rnacentral:rRNA from 1 species
ACGGGGGGAGCAAGCGUUGUCCGGAAUCAUUGGGCGUAAAGGGCGUGUAGGCGGCUUGGCAAGUCGAAUGUGAAAUCCCACGGCUCAACCGUGGAACUGCGUUCGAAACUGCCUUGCUUGAGUGCGGGAGAGGUGUGCGGAAUUCCUGGUGUAGCGGUGGAAUGCGUAGAUAUCAGGAAGAACGCCGGUGGCGAAGGGGGCACGCUGGCCCUGCACUGACGCUUAGGCGCGAAAGCGUGGGGAGCGAACGG